GCACUCGCUUUGGCAGCACAUAUACUAAAAUUGCAAUGAUAGAGAGAAGCUUAGCAUGACCCAUGCACAAGGAUGACAUGCUGAUUUAAAAAGAAAAAAAAAAGAAA
ensembl:snRNA U6 U6 spliceosomal RNA